rnacentral:rRNA from 1 species
AGAGUUUGAUCAUGGCUCAGGACGAACGCUGGCGGCGUGCUUAACACAUGCAAGUCUACUUGAACGCCCUGCUUGCAGGGAACUAUGGUGGCGAACGGGUGAGUAACGCGUAGACAAUCUGCCCCUUUCAGUGGGAUAAUCUCGGGAAACUGGGUCUAAUACCACAUAACAUCUCUUUUUGGCAUCAUUAAGAGAUUAAAGAUUUCGAAUCGGUGAGGGAUGAGUCUGCGUACCAUUAGCUAGUUGGUGGGGUAAUGGCCUACCAAGGCAACGAUGGUUAGCUGGUCUGAGAGGAUGAUCAGCCACACUGGGACUGAGAUACGGCCCAGACUCCUACGGGAGGCAGCAGUGAGGAAUAUUGCACAAUGGGGGCAACCCUGAUGCAGCAACGCCGCGUGUACGAUGAAUCAGUUUAUCUGUGUAAAGUACUGUUAAUUGGGACGAAUUAUAGGGUUUGUAGCCUUAUUUGACUGUACCAGUAGGGGAAGCUCCGGCUAACUCCGUGCCAGCAGCCGCGGUAAUACGGGGGGAGCGAGCGUUGUCCGGAUUUAUUGGGCGUAAAGGGUAUGUAGGUGGAAAGAUCAGUCAGUUGUUAAACGAUGCGGCUCAACCGCAUUUUGCAAUUGAUACUUUCUUUCUUGAGUACGAGAGGGGACGGUGGAAUAUUUAGUGUAGCGGUGGAAUGCGUAGAUAUUAAAUAGAACACCUGAGGCGAAGGCGACUGUCUGGCUCGUAACUGACACUGAAAUACGAAAGUAUGGGUAGCAAACAGGAUUAGAUACCCUGGUAGUCCAUACCGUAAACGAUGGAUACUAGGUGUCGGA